rnacentral:lncRNA from 1 species
CAUGAAGGCGGGAGCUGUGCCUGUUUUCAUUGUGUUUACAAGGCUUGGCACACUGCCUAGCACAAUGUUGAUAUAUACUUGUGGUUGAAUGAAUGAAUGGAACAGUUCACUAAUGAUUACUGUAAACUCUUUGGAAGUAGAGAUGUCAUUUGAAAAGUUCUAGCUGACUAUGCUGUCAUGUCCUUAGAUCCAAAGGCAGUCUGUGCUGACGGGACACAGCGACAUGGUCACGCAUGUGAAGCUGUUGGUGAAUGACAUGGCGGUGGACUCCGUGGGUGGAUACCUCUACUGGACCACACUCCACUCAGUUGAGAGCACCAGGCUGAAUGGAGAGAGUGCUCUUGUCCUCCAGGCACAGCCUUGGUUGUCUGGGAAAAAGGUUAUUGCUCUCACUCUGGACCUCAGUGAUGGGCUCUUGUAUUGGUUGGUUCAGGACAGUCAGUGUAUUCACCUGUACAUGGCUGUUCUCUGAGGACAGAGGUGAGACGUAUCUCUCAAAGGCCCUUGCCUCUCAGUUAUAAAUUACAAUGCAUGAGAUUCAUUUGUUCUUUUGAUAGAUACUCAUAACUUACACACUGUCGCAGUUGUGCUUGUGAGGAAGAUGGGUUUGUAAACACCCGAUUACAGUGGAAUAUGAUCAGUGCUGUGAUGGGCAUCGAAGUGGGACAGUGGAGAAUCUGAUUCAAGAAUCCAGAAAAUAUGCAGAUGGAUUUUCUGCUUGUUAAGAAAGUGGUGCUUCACAAAAAUCAAUAGCUUUCCUCCACACGAAUGACAGACUCACUGAGAGAGAAAUAGGGCAAAUAAUUCCUUUCACAAUAGCAUCCAAAAAACUGAAAUACCUAGGAAUCAUCCAAACGAAAGAAAUCAAAGACCUCUUCUCUGAAAACUAUGGCACUCUGAAAAGAGAGAUUGAAGAUGAUAUCAGAAAAUGGACAGACAUCCCCUGCUCCUGGGUAAGAAGGAUUAAGAGUGAAAACGGCCAUACUUCCAAAACUGCUAUAUAGAUUCAAUGCAAUUCCAAUUGAGAUCCCAGCAGCAUACUUCAUAGACCUUGAGAAAACAAUCCAGAAAUUCAUUUG